rnacentral:snoRNA from 1 species
UUGCAGCUUUGUGAAAGUGCCCCUGGCAAAGUUGUUGCCUGUGGGUAAAACAUGGCUGCAGAAAGCAAAUCAAAGAAUGAAAAGGCGUGACUCCUCGAGGAUCAGGAGCUUCACGUGCGAUGUUCCUUGGACAGACAGACUCCUGCUUUCCACGGUGUUGGUGGCCUCUGUACGUGGCUACCAACUUUCUUAAGGCAGGUAGAGUAACAACUGGCAGCUGGAUAUUGUUUGCAGCAGGAAGAGGUUUUCCUCUCAGACACUUGAAGCUGUCACAAAA